GGUGAAGUGACAGAGUGGUCGAAUGUACCGGUCUUGAAAACCGGCGUACCGCAAGGUACCGGGGGUUCGAAUCCCUCCUUCACCGCCA
rnacentral:tRNA from 1 species